GCUGGGCUUGGUGGUGCAUGCCUGUAAUCCCAGCAGCUCUGGAGGCUGAGGCAGGAGGAUGGUGAGUUCAAAGCCAGCCUCAGCAAAAGAGAGUAGUUAAGCAACUCAGUGAGACCCUGCCUCUA
rnacentral:sRNA from 1 species